rfam:Rhodnius prolixus Rhodnius_prolixus-3.0.3-603.6, whole genome shotgun sequence.
CUACAUCUACCCUGUAGAUCCGAAUUUGUUUGAUACAGUGCGACAAAUUCGGUUCUAGAGAGGUUUGUGUG